UACGUAGGGUGCGAGCGUUAAUCGGAAUUACUGGGCGUAAAGCGUGCGCAGGCGGCGCGUUAAGACAGGUGUGAAAGCCCCGAGCUUAACUUGGGAAUUGCGCUUGUGACUGGCGUGCUGGAGUGUGGCAGAGGGAGGUGGAAUUCCACGUGUAGCAGUGAAAUGCGUAGAGAUGAUGGAGGAACACCGAUGGCGAAGGCAGCCUCCUGGGCCAGCACUGACGCUCAUGCACGAAAGCGUGGGGAGCAAACAGGA
rnacentral:rRNA from 1 species